rnacentral:lncRNA from 1 species
CCUCCACUCUGUUAAGAACCAAGGGUUUCGCUUCUAAAGCUAAGUCUGAUGCUGAUGAUGUGAUUCUUGCUUACUGCACUCGAAAGAAUGUUGGUCAGUACUUUCGAAAGAUGAAACAUGUUACAAAAUCUCAGCCAUCAGACUUCCGCGAAGACCCUGUGGAUUUGGAAGUGCUACAUCAACUGGCUCUGGCAAAGGAACGAA